rnacentral:tRNA from 2 species
GGGCCCAUAGCUCAGUCGGUAGAGCCGCCGGCUCAUAACCGGCUCGUCCCUGGUUCGAGCCCAGGUGGGCCCACCA